rnacentral:rRNA from 1 species
AACGAACGCUGGCGGCAGGCCUAACACAUGCAAGUCGAGCGAAGCCUUCGGGCUUAGCGGCGGACGGGUGAGUAACGCGUGGGAACGUGCCCUUUGCUACGGAAUAGCCCCGGGAAACUGGGAGUAAUACCGUAUGUGCCCUUCGGGGGAAAGAUUUAUCGGCAAAGGAUCGGCCCGCGUUGGAUUAGGUAGUUGGUGGGGUAAUGGCCUACCAAGCCGACGAUCCAUAGCUGGUUUGAGAGGAUGAUCAGCCACACUGGGACUGAGACACGGCCCAGACUCCUACGGGAGGCAGCAGUGGGGAAUCUUAGACAAUGGGGGAAACCCUGAUCUAGCCAUGCCGCGUGAUCGAUGAAGGCCUUAGGGUUGUAAAGAUCUUUCAGUGGGGAAGAUAAUGACUGUACCCACAGAAGAAGCCCCGGCUAACUCCGUGCCAGCAGCCGCAGUAAGAC